rnacentral:piRNA from 1 species
UUGCUGAAAAGUACUCCUCAUCUACCC